rnacentral:rRNA from 1 species
AUACGUAGGUGGCGAGCGUUGUCCGGAAUUACUGGGCGUAAAGGAUGCGUAGGUGGAUAUUUAAGUGGGAUGUGAAAUCCCCGGGCUCAACCCGGGAACUGCAUUCCAAACUGGGUAUCUAGAGUGCAGGAGAGGAAAGCGGAAUUCCUAGUGUAGCGGUGAAAUGCGUAGAUAUUAGGAGGAACACCAGUGGCGAAGGCGGCUUCCUGGACUGAAACUGACACUGAGGCAGGAAAGCGUGGGUAGCAAACAGGAUUAGAUACCCUGGUAGUCCACGCCGUAAACGAUGGGUACUAGGUGUAGGAGGUAUCGACCCCUUCUGUGCCGUCGUUAACACAAUAAGUACCCCGCCUGGGGAGUACGGUCGCAAGACUAAAACUCAAAGGAAUUGACGGGG